rnacentral:rRNA from 1 species
CCUACGGGUGGCAGCAGUGGGGAAUAUUGGACAAUGGGCGAAAGCCUGAUCCAGCCAUGCCGCGUGUGUGAAGAAGGCCUUCGGGUUGUAAAGCACUUUCAGUGGGGAAGAAAGCCUUGGGGCUAAUACCCUCGAGGAAGGACAUCACCCACAGAAGAAGCACCGGCUAACUCCGUGCCAGCAGCCGCGGUAAUACGGAGGGUGCGAGCGUUAAUCGGAAUUACUGGGCGUAAAGCGCGCGUAGGCGGUCUGAUAAGCCGGUUGUGAAAGCCCCGGGCUCAACCUGGGAACGGCAUCCGGAACUGGCAGGCUAGAGUGCAGGGGAGGAAGGUAGAAUUCCCGGUGUAGCGGUGAAAUGCGUAGAGAUCGGGAGGAAUACCAGUGGCGAAGGCGGCCUUCUGGACUGACACUGACGCUGAGGUGCGAAAGCGUGGGUAGCAAACAGGAUUAGAUACCCCAGUAGUC